CAGUAGCGUAUAUUAAAGUUGUUGCAGUUAAAAUGCUCGUAGUUGAAGUUCGGAUGCAGCAGAGCUUGGAAACGCUGUUAUGGUGCUUCCGUUGCUUUUGCUUGUCCACAGUGCGUUGCAAGUACGUAUGUUGUGCGUGCAUUUUACUUUGAGAAACAUAGGGUGUUCCACGCAUGUUACGGCAUGAAUAUUCCAGCAUGGGAUAAUCUGGUACGACUUCCAAUCUGCCAUUUUGGUUCGUAGGUUGGAAGUAAUGAUUAAUAGGGACUGUCGGGGGCAUUGGUAUUUGACUGUCAGAGGUGAAAUUCUUAGAUUCGUUGAGGACCAACCACUGCGAAAGCAUUUGUCAAGGAUGUCUCCAUUAA
rnacentral:rRNA from 1 species